CACACAGCUGUGUGAUUUUCUGCAGAGUCCAAACUGCAGGCUGGAGACUCUGAGAUUGAGCAUCUGCAGUUUGUCAGAGAUCAGCUGUUCUUCUUUGGCCUCAGCUCUGAAGUCCAACCCCUCCCAUCUCAGAGAGCUGGAACUGAAUGAGAACUACGACCUGUAUGAUUCAGGAUUGAAGCUGCUGUGUGAGGGACUGCAGAGUCCAAACUGCAGACUGGAGUCUCUGAGAUUGAGUUACUGCAGUUCGUCAGAGAUCAGCUGUUCUUCUCUGGCCUCAGCUCUGAGGUCCAACCCCUCCCAUCUCAGAGAGCUGGACCUGAGUCAGAACUACCUGAAGGAUUCAGGAGUGAAGCUGCUGUGUGAUUAUCUGAGUCAAAACUGCAGACUGGAGUCUCUGAGGUCAGAUCCCUGACUGUGUCAUUCAUUUGAAUCAUUUCAAUCCACAUCCUCGGUUGUUGCACAUUUCGGGAUUUAUAUAUUUUCAGUAGUUGUCUGAAUUUAAAUCUCAGGGAAAUUUAAUGAUUUAGGAGAUUAUUUUUUUCAAGUUGCUGAAUAAUUUAGAGAUUUGAUGUGAAAAUGUUUUUAUGACUAUGUG